ACGGAAGGCAGCAGUGAGGAAUAUUGGUCAAUGGGCGGAAGCCUGAACCAGCCAUCUCGCGUGCAGGACUACGGCCCUACGGGUCUUAAACUGCUUUUAUGGGGGGAUAAAGUCGGGCAUUCGUGCCCGUUUGCAGGUACCCCAUGAAUAAGGAUCGGCUAACUCCGUGCCAGCAGCCGCGGUAAUACGGAGGAUCCGAGCGUUAUCCGGAUUUAUUGGGUUUAAAGGGUGCGCAGGCGGCCCGUUAAGUCAGCGGUGAAAUGUCGGGGCUCAACCCGGGCACUGCCGUUGAAACUGGGGGGCUUGAGUACGGAUGAGGUCGGCGGAAUGUGACGUGUAGCGGUGAAAUGCAUAGAUAUCGCACAGAACGCCGAUCGCGGAGGCAGGUCACCAAGCCGCAACUGACGCUGAGGCACGAAAGCGCGGGGAUCGAACAGGAUUAGAUACCCUGGUA
rnacentral:rRNA from 1 species